AACGAACGCUGGCGGCGCGCCUAAUACAUGCAAGUCGAACGAGAAUGUGUAGCAAUACACAUGUAAAGUGGCGAACGGGUGAGGAUUACAUGGGUAACCUACCCUCGAGUGGGGAAUAACUAGCCGAAAGGUUAGCUAAUACCGCGUACGCUUCCCGGACUGCGGUUCGGGAAGGAAAGCGAUACCGUGGGUAUCGCGCUCUUGGAUGGGCUCAUGCCCUAUCAGCUUGUUGGUGAGGUAACGGCUCACCAAGGCUUCGACGGGUAGCUGAUCUGAGAGGAUGAUCAGCCACACUGGCACUGCGACACGGGCCAGACUCCUACGGGAGGCAGCAGUAAGGAAUAUUGCGCAAUGGGCGAAAGCCUGACGCAGCGACGCCGCGUGGGGGAUGAAGGUCUUCGGAUUGUAAACCCCUUUCGGGAGGGAAGAUGGGAUGGGGUAACCCAUUCGGACGGUACCUCCAGAAGCAGCCACGGCUAACUUCGUGCCAGCAGCCGCGGUAAUACGAAGUGGGCAAGCGUUGUUCGGAUUUACUGGGCGUACAG
rnacentral:rRNA from 1 species